CCCCGAACACGGAAAAAAAAGGCGCAGUGGGGGUUCUGCUGUGUUUGCAAGUGAGGGUCGUGAGUGCAACGGGCGCAAGGCAUUAAGGCCAGUGUGUUAGUGCGCGGGCAGGCUCGCGUGGUGCUGGGGUUGCUGUGUGAGCGGCCCUCGUGGCUCGGGAGGUGCUGUGUUUGCGCAGGCGUGCGCCCCUGGCGUCGGGACUGGGACUCCGGAUUUCUGUGGCGACUGAGGCGCUCUUACCUUUGCGUCCUGAUCUCCAAGCAAGCACACUGACCUUCUUCAGGCAAAUACGCACUGUUAAUUUUCCAGAAAGUUCUGUGAGUAAGGUUUAUACCUCUCGAGUCUGCCACUAGAUGCCGCCAAAUCCCAGCAAAGGAUUGGCUGUUUGGUCCCUGGGAUUCUGGGAUUUUGUUUCCCUCCCCCCUCCCCUUUCUGAUUUGCUGAACGGUAAUAUCUAUAGGCAUCAUGGAUAUCGUUCAUUCCUAGGAAAAAAUAAAAUCAACUUCUGUAAAUAGCACUAGUAGGCAGGGGACUGUGACCCAAGAUCCAAAUAAUUUUGCUCAUUUCUUUCCUUUUCUCCUUGGGUUAAAAAAAAAAAAAGGCCCCUCUCCAUCCCUCUUUUCUUUUGUCCUUGCCUUGUUUAAUCAAAGAGUUAAUGAAUGACGCAAGCACUGAUGCUGAAGAUCCUAACCCUUUUUCCUCACCUUUUCAAAUGCUCGCAACUCACCCAAACUGAAAAUACAGAUAGCUGUUCCGUCAGUAAAGAUAGAUAAGAACUCAUCAGUAAAACCUGGACCCUGGUAUUGAAAACUGAUUUUCCUUUUCUCUUGAAAUUUGUAUCAGAUAUGUGUUUUUGCACCCUAUUUUCUGUAGUGGUAUUGGUAAACUUUAUUGUGUCUUUGGAGUAAGAGAAAGAGACCUAAUUGUAAACCUCAUUCCACCACUUACUAGUCUCAGUACCCUGGGCAAAUGAUUUAUGUUUUGUGAUCCUCAGUUUUUUUGUAUGCUUUCUAUAUUUUAGAUGCUGUGUUAUAUCGUUCACGUUGAUUUUUUUAUUCAUCACCAAGUCCUUAUUAGAUGAGCACUACUGGAUCAAAGUCAAACAACAAAAAUCAUACCCCUUUCAAUUAUCUAUCUUAUAUACUUGUACACCACACAGGAGGGAUUUUUUUAGAGCAGUGGUUCCCAAGGUGUGUUUCCUGGAUGUACCAGAAACAUCAGCGUCACCUGAAAAGUUGUCAGAAAUUCGGAUUCUCAGGUCCCACCUCAAACUUAAUGAAUCAGAAGUUCGCAGGGUGGGGUUUAGUAAUCUGUGUUAUUACAAACUAUCCCAGUGAUUCCAGCACACACUGAAGUUUGAGAGCCACUGCUUUGGAGAGUAGAAAUGCAAUGCAUAUUUUUGUACACACCACUAGAGGGUGCUACAGAAUGUAAAGCAAAAUAAUAAAUGAUGCACAGUAUAUGUUUUCAGACACCCUCUAUAUUAUCAGUCCUAUUUUACAGAUUAAAAACUAAUGUGUAGAUAUGUCAAAUUAUUUUCUUAGUGUACGCAACAAGUAUGGGAACCAGGAUUUGAACUUCACCUGCCUCUAGCCCAAGCCCCUAAUAGUACUCUGUUGUUUAACCAUGAUGACUUGUCUUUCCAAGCCUCAAAAUACAUUAGAAAUAUCUUGUUCCCUGCUUUGGCUAAUGUUGACUGGAGUGUCAAGAAGAGUGCAGGAAAGCAAACCAAGCUGUUGCAACCUCACCAGAACAGCUGAAGAAUGAAUUUCAGCCUGGACUCUACCUUAUUAGUUGGGCACCCUUGGGGAGGGUGCAACCUGCCCAACAUUUUCUGCUGGCCCUGUCUUACCUCAUGACUAAGAGAGCCUUCCUAGGUCUGGAAGGUAGCAGUCAGUCUGUUCUGGAGGGUGGAGAGAGACACCAGUGUUUUCCCAUGGUUUCUGGGUAGUAGAUAAAAUUGGUCUAUUCUAAGGUUAAUUUGAUAUUUUAAAAUUUUGAUUCUGACUAGCUUAUUGGAUUUUUUUGAAUAAUGUUUGAUUAAUGUAAAGGUUAAAAAUAAAACCUAAUAUUUCAGCUAAGCAAAUGGUAUUUCUUUAAUAAGGACGUAUUUCUAUCUAUUUAUACCUGCCUCAUUCCAUAGGAAUUUUAUAAAGCCAGUCCAGGAAUGUAGUCUGAAUCAAUCUAGUUUGCUAGCCUGUGAGACCAGGGCAAAGAUGAAAAUAGUCAUGGGAAAGUUUUAUCCUUUUAGGGGUAUCUGUCUUCUUCUAGUUCCUCUCUCCUCCUUUGACAAAUCCCCACCCCGAGACUGACCUACCCAUUUGACAGAAUGAGAUUACUUCUUCAAAUGACCCAAAACACUGAGAUCCUGAACCUAAUCAAUAAUGUCCUUGGAUGACCUUGGGAUGCCAGAUUCACACAUAAUUCCUUGUUGUCCCCUUCCUGAGUUAAUAGUUUAGCAUACAAUUUACCAAAAUUUGUAGUUUCCUGAGCCACAGACUUCACUUGGAAUGAUCAUAUAAAGUCAUCCAUGCUACAUACCAACCCACAGAAAUGAGGACCGCUUUCCUCCAGUGUAUGCUGAGUCCUACAAUCUGAGCACUGCUUCAAGAGGAUGCCUUGAGUCAUUUUUCCAGAGUUAAAUUUGCUUAUGCUUCUAACCUCCACCUACAGUCCCCGUUACACUGGGAAUGAUAAAAACUAUGCCUUUUGAAAAUAUAAGCUGUCAUGUUAUUAAAGAUGACAAACCAGUAGUAGUUAAAGUGCUGCAUCUAAAUUGUUGAAGCUUGUUACGUGGGAGUUCAUUAGACUGUUUUUCCUACUUUUGUGUAUUUUUGAAGUUUUCCAUAAUAAAACAUUUAAAAAGACAAAAAA
rnacentral:lncRNA from 10 species